CAUGAGAUAGGGAUUUGGAACAGGAAUGGGAUCAGGAUUGGAAUGGGAUCAAGAUCAGGAACAGGAUUGGGAACAGCAUUGGGAAGGGGAACAGGAAGAAGAAUAAGAAUGGGAAUGGGAAUGAGAUAAGGGUUGGGAACAGGAUUGGGAAUGGGAACGGGUUUGGGAACAGGAACCGUAACGAGAUAGAGAUUGGGAAUAGGAAUGGGAACCAGAAUCGGGAUGGUAAAGCUGUGACAUAAAUGGGUGCCUUGGCCGGGAAAUCUGAAAUUGGAGAAGCAAAAUCAGGAUGGGAACUGGAAUUCCAGAGGCUGGCAGUGUGAGCCAUGCAGGACCAUCCAGGCUGGGAUCAUGGGGCGGGGAUCACAUGGACUGGGAUCCUCCAGACUGGGACUGCACAGACUGGGACCAGGGGGAUCAGGGCCAUGCAGGCUGGGAUUGUACAAACUGGGAUCACAUGGACUGGGAUUGUACAAACCGGGAUGACAUGGAUGGGGAUUGUACAAACUGGGACCAUAUGGACCGGGAUGGCUACACCAGAACUACGGAAACCGAGGUGGUCCUGCCCCUCCCAGGGGUCCCUCCCAGUCCUGCCCAGUCUCGAGUUGUGUGCAGCCAAAACCCCGCAGGGAACGCAGAGGUCCCAGAGCACUCCUGGUGUCGAUCUCUGUCCUGGUACAAGUCUCAGGCUCAGUUUGGAGCAGUCCUGGAGCGCUCCUGGUGCUGGUUCUGGUCCCGGUCUGAAUCUUGAUCCUAGAGCAGUGAUGGUCUUGGUUUCAUUCUCGGUUCUAUAGUGGUGCCAGUUUUGGUGCCACUGCCGGUUCUGGUUUCAGUCUCGGUCUUGGUCUCAUAGUGGUUCCAGUCCCAGUGCUGGUACCGGUGCCAGUGUUGAUCCUGGAGUGCUCCCAGUGCCAGUCUCGGUCUCAGUCCCGGAGCUCUCCUGGUGCCCGUCCCAGUGUUGGGUGCUGGUCUCAGUCUUGGUCUCAGUACAAAUUCUGGGGAUGGUUUCAGUCUCAGUCUCCGUCCCAGUCUUAGUCCCAGUUCUGGAGCGGUGCUGGUCUCAGUUCUGGUGUCCGUUCUGUUCCCAGUCUUGGUCUCAGUCUCCGUUCUGGUGUUGGUCUCAGUAUUGGUGCUGGUCCUGGUCCUGGUGCUUGUCUCAGUCUUGGUUGAAAACACUUUAGGCCUAUUUCACUAAUUUUAUAAAAACUGGGAUUUUAGACUGGAGUUUAGGCCCCUUUCGAUGAUCUUAGGCCAGUUUUGAUGAUUUUAAGCCCCCUUCAUGUGGAUUUGAGUUUCCUUUGGCUGAUUUUAGGCCAAACCUGGUGGAUUUAGGCUACAUUUGAGGCCCUUUUUCGGUGAUUUUAGGCCGAACCAGGGCCCUUGAGGACCCUGUGGCACUUUGGCCCCGCCCCUUUCUCCUCACAGUUCCCGCCCUUCCCUUGACCCAUCCCCUCCCAGUUCGGGGUUCCGAAAGGGGCAGGAGGAGGAGGGAGGGAGGAAGAGGCGGAGCCGCAGCAGAAGCAGGAGGGGACAAGGAACGAUUCGAGCGCCAUCCCGGAGCUGCCUGAACUCGCAGCGCCCCUGGGACCAUCGCCCCCCAUCCCGCAGUCUCUUUACAGGAGAUGUCUGCAGAUGUGCCAGAGGCAGAGUCUGGGGUGCAUGUUCCUGGGUGGCCACUGAUGUUCUGUUAAUGGCCGCUGAUGGCCCUUGAGCAUUCCAGCUGCUCCCAGUGUGUUGAUGUGUUGAGUUCAUCUGACCCCACCUAGUGCAGCAAUGACCUGGACAUAAAAUUACAAGUCGUUUAGGACAAAGGCAAACAAAACCCCUUGAUUAAACCGAUAGAAAAACUUUUAAAAGGA